GGACAAAACAAGAGAGACUAAAAGAAUUCAUGAUGAACUAUCAUGAGAGAGGCAAACAAUAUGAAUUGAUUCAGUGUUAAAACUAAAGAGUGAUCAAAUAUGGUCUCUCUUUCACAGAGUUCUUUUAAUUUUAUGUUUCUCAAAGCUCUAUGCUUAAUAAUUAUUAUCUCCUAUGCAUACUUUCAAGAUACAUAAUGUCUUUCCCAGGUAAAAGAUAAUAACAAAAUUGUACUCUUACAUGCCCACACAAGGAAUAGAGGACAAAAACAAAGCAAAAUUUUUUGUUAGAAAAACUAAUCUAUU
rnacentral:misc_RNA from 1 species